GGUAGGUCAGAAACCUCCAGGCAACUCUUCCAAAAGUGUUUGAACUAUAUAUAUCUGUUAUGUCCAAAGCACACUGAAGUUCUUGUUCCUCUGCUUUAAGUCAGACAAUGAGAGGGCCAUAUUUUUUCAUCUCCAAUGUUCUAAUUUUGUGCUUCCCUGCAUUAUGAUGUUGCUGGUCUGAAAGUGUAACAACCCUUAUAUCUCCAUCACUCAUCAUUUGAAUUGGAGCAUUGGAAUUUCAGGGGUAUAUUGAUAACUCUUAAGUAGACAAAAGAGUAUUGCAAGUUCUGAAAAGGAUUUGGGUCAAUAUUUGACGAAAUCUCCAGGACAAGGGCUCUUUUGUGAGGCAUUAAUGCGGCUUGAGUUCCCUACGUUGAGGUCAGAGAAGGGAGAAAGCAGAUUUUAGUUCAGAAAACAAUGGUGUGCCUUCAUGUUUGUAAAAUCCGCACCUGCCACUCACAAAUUAAGGAUUGAAAGGGGAAAGAUCAGAUGCUUUGAGAAUCACAACCUGUAAUUCCUUGAUUGGAAUACAUAGUGGUGCAAAAAUGCCCCAAGAUGAACACACCAAACUUUACCAGAAUAAAUCAGAUCUAUUAUGUCAAUGAAAAGUAUUAGGAAGGUGACCUCAACACAACUAUACAACAUCUUCACAUGAAAGAGAAUAUCAAGAGUUCUGGAAAAAUUUAGGUCAAACUUCGAUGCAGUCUCCGGAUUAAGGCAUCCUAUCUAAAUGGUUUGUGAGGUAUUAUGGCUCUUGGUCCAUAUGUUGAAGUGAGAGUGGAAGGGAAUUUUGUUUGCGUUCCUCUUGUGCUGCUUUUGCCCUCUUUCAUUGUGAAUUACUUCUUUGAAAGUGUUAUAGAACUUAGUUUCUUCACUCAUUUAAGGUUGAUUUGAAUAGUGGAGGUUGUUUUUCAUUCCUUUACUGUGUAUUUUAUUGAUGACUUAAUUAAGUGUGUAUUUGUGGGUGCCUUAAUAUGUCUAUGUAAUUAACUUUUAGUGUAUUACAAUGCUAUUUGAUGAAAUUGUCUUUUCAAAAGUAGUCUCUGU